UCGGUAAUGACGCUGGGGACGCGAGCGGCGGAUGGGUGAGUAACACGUGGGGAACCUGCCCCAUAGCCUGGGAUACCACUUGGAAACAGGUGCUAAUACCGGAUAAGAAAGCAGAUCGCAUGAUCAGCUUAUAAAAGGCGGCGUAAGCUGUCGCUAUGGGAUGGCCCCGCGGUGCAUUAGCUAGUUGGUAAGGUAACGGCUUACCAAGGCAAUGAUGCAUAGCCGAGUUGAGAGACUGAUCGGCCACAUUGGGACUGAGACACGGCCCAAACUCCUACGGGAGGCAGCAGUAGGGAAUCUUCCACAAUGGACGCAAGUCUGAUGGAGCAACGCCGCGUGAGUGAAGAAGGUUUUCGGAUCGUAAAGCUCUGUUGUUGGUGAAGAAGGAUAGAGGUAGUAACUGGCCUUUAUUUGACGGUAAUCAACCAGAAAGUCACGGCUAACUACGUGCCAGCAGCCGCGGUAAUACGUAGGUGGCAAGCGUUGUCCGGAUUUAUUGGGCGUAAAGCGAGCGCAGGCGGAAGAAUAAGUCUGAUGUGAAAGCCCUCGGCUUAACACGAGGAACUGCAUCGGAAAC
rnacentral:rRNA from 1 species